UUAUUAACCCGUCCGCUGCGAUUGGCACGGAUUUUGCCUUCACUGGUAGCCUGGUAACAUACACUCCCAGGUCUUUCUCUGCCUCUGUGGUGGAUAGUGGAGUGUUUCCCAUGUGGUAUUGGUGUGCUGGAUAUCCCUUCACUGGUAGCCUGGUAACAUACACUCCCAGGUCUUUCUCUUCCUCUGUGGUGGAUAGUGGAGUGUUUCCCAUGUGGUAUUGGUGUGCUGGAUAUCCCUUCACUGGUAGCCUGGUAACAUACACUCCCAGGUCUUUCUCUGCCUCUGUGGUGGAUAGUGGAGUGUUUCCCAUGUGGUAUUGGUGUGCUGGAUAUCCCUUCACUGGUAGCCUGGUAACAUACACUCCCAGGUCUUUCUCUGCCUCUGUGGUGGAUAGUGGAGUGUUUCCCAUGUGGUAUUGGUGUGCUGGAUAUCCCUUCACUGGUAGCCUGGUAACAUACACUCCCAGGUCUUUCUCUGCCUCUGUGGUGGAUAGUGGAGUGUUUCCCAUGUGGUAUUGGUGUGCUGGAUAUCCCUUCACUGGUAGCCUGGUAACAUACACUCCCAGGUCUUUCUCUUCCUCUGUGGUGGAUAGUGGAGUGUUUCCCAUGUGGUAUUGGUGUGCUGGAUAUCCCUUCACUGGUAGCCUGGUAACAUACACUCCCAGGUCUUUCUCUGCCUCUGUGGUGGAUAGUGGAGUGUUUCCCAUGUGGUAUUGGUGUGCUGGAUAUCCCCUCCCAAGGUGCAGGACUUUACAUUUUUCUUCAUUGAAUUGUAGCAGCCACUUUUUGCUCCAUUCCUAUAGCUUGGUGAGGUCUGACUGUAGGCAAUCCGCAGCCAAGGGGUUAAAGCAUUGUUUCCCAAGCCCAAGGUCGUGACACAAAUGAGGGUUGUGAGAGGGUUUCUAAUGGUUGCUAGAGGGUUAUGGAAACAGGCCCUAAUAAUUAUCAUACAUGUAUACGAUAAAGGAUGAUUUUUAACCCAGUAGCAGCGGGGACCAUGUUUCUUAAUGGUCCCUCCAAGCGAGAAAAAUGAGAAAAAAUCACCCCUCACACAAACCAUUUCAUAAUAUAUAUCAAAGCAUUUGUGAUCAGAUUAUGUAUCAUCUAUUUUGGGGGUUAUAUCAUGGCACAAAUUUGGCCCGUCGCUGCUGCACGGUAAAGCCACAAAUUUGGCCCGUCGCUGCUACACGGUAAAGCCACAAAUUUGGCCCAUCGCUGCUACACGGUAAAGCCACAAAUUUGGCCCAUCGCUGCUACACGGUAAAGCCACAAAUUUGGCCCGUCGCUGCUACACUGUAAAGCCACAAAUUUGGCCCGUCGCUGCUACACUGUGAAGCCACAAAUUUGGCCCGUCACUGCUACACGGUGAAGCCACAAAUUUGGCCCGUCGCUGCUACUGGGUAAACCAUUCUUCCUUAAUAUAAAAAAAUAAAUAAAACAAAUGAAAUAAAUAAAAAAAUCAACAUAAAAAAAUACCACUCAUGUGAGGCUGAGUGCAUAAGUUA